CGAGGAGAGGUUUGGACCGGCUGGGGGUCCCCGAGGAGAGGUUUGGACCGGCUGGGGGUCCCUGAGGAGAGGUUUGGACCGGCUGGGGGUCCCAGAGGAGAGGUUUGGACCGGCUGGGGGUCCCUGAGGAGAGGUUUGGACCGGCUGGGGGUCCCUGAGGAGAGGUUUGGACCGGCUGGGGGUCCCUGAGGAGAGGUUUGGACCGGCUGGGGGUCCCUGAGGAGAGGUUUGGACCGGCUGGGGGUCCCUGAGGAGAGGUUUGGACCGGCUGGGGGUCCCUGAGGAGAGGUUUGGACCGGCUGGGGGUCCCUGAGGAGAGGUUUGGACCGGCUGGGGGUCCCUGAGGAGAGGUUUGGACCGGCUGGGGGUCCCUGAGGAGAGGUUUGGACCGGCUGGGGGUCCCUGAGGAGAGGUUUGGACCGGCUGGGGGUCCCUGAGGAGAGGUUUGGACCGGCUGGGGGUCCCAGAGGAGAGGUUUGGACCGGCUGGGGGUCCCUGAGGAGAGGUUUGGACCGGCUGGGGGUCCCCGAGGAGAGGUUUGAGAACCACUGUAGUAGGAUAUGGGUUACACAUGGGAUGGGCUUAUCAGAUUUCCGCUGGUCAUUGGGGACAGACUACUUACUAACUGGUGGCUAACGGAUAGUAUCAAAUUGUGGAUACUAUCAGACUGGUGAGAUGGAUGGAUGGGGUUUAUAUUAAGAGAUGGGUUGGCUAUGGGAUGGGCUUACUGGUGUUGGGCUGAAAAGGUACAGUAGAGACUGGGAGAAACGGUUAGAUGCUUAGUGUCUCUUUCAGCAUCACAGAAACAGAGACUCACUGCCACAGACAUACGGAGAAAGUAGGCUGGCCCUCCUCGAAGUCUCGUCGUUUGAUGCAUUGCACUCUUUUUGGUUAUAAAGCCCUCUAGCAUAAACAUCCGUCAUAAUAGACCUCAUUGGUAACCUUCAGACGUACAAGUUACCAGACCUGGACUCAGGGAUAGCUAACCCUGGAGAUCAAUCUCCACCGAGUUAGGUCAAUCUGCUUUUAGUCUUGUGGCACCGCUCAUGUGGAAUGAUCUCCAAAAGUCCUUAAAGUUGGUGGAGUUGGAAAAAUGACUUGUGUCAUGCACAAAGUACAUGUCCUAACCAACUUGCCAAAACUAUAGUUUGUUAUUAA